rnacentral:rRNA from 1 species
GACGUAGGGUGCAAGCGUUGUCCGGAAUCAUUGGGCGUAAAGAGUUCGUAGGCGGUUUCUCAAGUCUGGUGUUAAAUACGGGAGCUCAACUCCCGCAUGGCAUUGGAAACUGGGUGACUAGAGUGUGGUAGAGGUUACGGGAAUUCCUGGUGUAGCGGUGAAAUGCGUAGAUAUCAGGAGGAACACCAGUGGCGAAGGCGGCUCACUGGCCCGAUACUGACGCUGAGGCACGAAAGCGUGGGGAGCAAACAGG